UACGUAGGGGGAAGCGUUAUCCGGAUUUACUGGGUGUAAAGGGAGCGCAGGCGGCAUGGCAAGUCAGAUGUGAAAACCCGGGGCCCAACCCCGGGCCUGCAUUUGAAACUGUCAGGCUAGAGUGUGGGAGAGGCAGGCGGAAUUCCUAGUGUAGCGGUGAAAUGCGUAGAUAUUAGGAGGAACACCGGUGGCGAAGGCGGCCUGCUGGACCAAGACUGACGCUGAGGCUCGAAAGCGUGGGGAGCAAACA
rnacentral:rRNA from 1 species